UACGUAGGGGGCAAGCGUUGUCCGGAAUCAUUGGGCGUAAAGCGCGUGUAGGCGGUUCAGUAAGUCUGCUGUGAAAGUCCAGGGCUCAACCCUGGGAUGCCGGUGGAUACUGCUGAACUAGAGUACGGAAGAGGCGAGUGGAAUUCCCGGUGUAGCGGUGAAAUGCGCAGAUAUCGGGAGGAACACCAAUUGCGAAGGCAGCCAUCUGGACCGACACUGACGCUGAGGCGCGAAAGCGUGGGGAGCAAACAGG
rnacentral:rRNA from 1 species